rnacentral:rRNA from 1 species
GCAAGUCGAACGGAAACAUGUCUAGCUUGCUAGAUGAUGUCGAGUGGCGGACGGGUGAGUAAUGCUUGGGAACUUGCCUUUUGGAGGGGGAUAACAGUUGGAAACGACUGCUAAUACCGCAUAAUACCUAAGGGUUAAAGGGGGCUUCGGCUCUCGCCAUUAGAGAGGCCCAAGUGAGAUUAGCUAGUUGGUGAGGUAAGAGCUCACCAAGGCGACGAUCUCUAGCUGUUCUGAGAGGAAGAUC